GGGAGGGAACUCAGCCCCCAGGACUCAGCCAGGCUCAGAGAAGGGAAGGAGCCCCGGGACCACAGAGAUAGGGGAGGAACCACACUGCAGCCUGCCUGUAUAGUGAACCUGCCCUUACUGAUGGGGAAAAGAUAACCUGCUAUACUUUUUCCCCUCUGUGAGGCAGAGGAGCCCAUGUAGAGAAAAAAGGGUGAUACCACAGACAGCUGGAGCAGAGGAGAGCUUUUCUUCCCCAUGCAGGCUCUAGCAGAGAGCAAGAUUUUCUGAAACAGCUGCACCAGCCAGGGUUAUUGUGUUGCCAGUGUGAAGGGACAGAGAUGAGCUUUAUCUUGGGAACUCCUCAUUCAAAUGAUCACCAAUUUGGAUCGUAACUUCCUUACGUCUAUGAUGGGAAGAACAUGUCAAGGUGUAUUAAAAUUUCAGUCGGGGUAGAUGCUUCAAUACUACCGAUUCGUCAUGUGUGGUAACUGCUGGUAGAGGGUUUAGAAACAUGUAGUUUCACCCUCUGUCCAGGGAGAGCAGUUUUAAAUUCUAGCCACAAUAUCAAAGGAUUUCUGCUUCCUGAAGAUUAUCAAGAAUUGAUCUUCAUAAGCAAAAAAGUUUGCUUGUUUUUUUUGCCACUCAACUCCCUGGAUUGACUAUCUGUUUUCACUUGAUGGAUUUUAGUAGUCUUAUUCACUGUACUGUAAAGGUGUUUAUAGUCUUGGACUAUGUAUAUCUGAUAGUGAGGUAUGUGAUCACCUAGAAUCCACAAUGCCAUUAUUUUUGUUAAAUUGAAAUUUGCAAAGAAAUUUAGAUGUUUGGUGAUGGUUUGUAGUUGCCUUUUGUCUUUAUUGAGCAUGUGGAAAGUGAUUAAGACAAUAUAAUGGGCCAUCAGUAAUUACCUAAAAUGCAUAUUGAGCUUAACAAUUUAGAAAUAAAAGUUGAAGGAUGCCACUUGAAAGAGUUAUUCUGUUAAAGUUUGAUUAUUGCUGUGGAGAGUAAAAAAUAAGAGAUUUCACUUCUGCAGCAUUUACAAAUUUGUCUUGAUGUAUGUUGUUCCCUUUACUUGAAUAAUAUUUCUUAAAAUGCAAAACUAUGGAAUUGAACCUCUGAUGAGUUGAACAUCUUUCCUCCGUUUCCCCUUCCUUU